rnacentral:tmRNA from 1 species
GGGGGUGUAUGGUAUUGACAGCAUAGAUCUUUGAAAGUGUAAGCAUGUCCUGCGUUGCGUAAUUAGCAGGUAAAUCUGAAUACGCAAACUAUAAAUGGCAAUACACAAUUUGCCAUGGCUGCUUAAUCAGUGAUUGAGUAGUCAUUAUGGCCGGGUGGCAGGUAGGCUUGUAACCAGUUGCCCCGCCCAAUCAAAAAACAAUACAGGCUGCUGCAGCCGAAGGCUGUGACGGUUGCUUAAGUCCCGUCCCGAUAGCUAUCGGGAUUAUCGGGAAUGCAGCUAAGGAAAUAAUCGGUUGUUUGUUCCCAGUUAAUUCCCGAAACCUCAAAACAAAAUAAGCAUGUAGAAAGCUUUUGAAGAAUAUGUUUGGACACCGGUUCGAAUCCGGUCACCUCCACCA